GUCGAGAAUCUUCCGCAAUGCGCGAAAGCGUGACGGAGCGACGCCGCGUGGGCGAUGAAGGCCUUCGGGUUGUAAAGCCCUGUUAGCUGUUUUGAAUGACGGGCGGUGAAUAACUGUCCCGUUUGACGUAAGCAGCAGAGGAAGCACCGGCUAACUACGUGCCAGCAGCCGCGGUAAUACGUAGGGUGCAAACGUUGUUCGGAAUCACUGGGCAUAAAGCGCGUGUAGGCGGUCCCGCAAGUCAGGUGUGAAAUCCCUCGGCCCAACCGAGGAACUGCAUUUGAUACUGCGGGGCUAGAGUACAGGAGGGGAGAGCGGAAUUCCUGGUGUAGCGGUGAAAUGCGUAGAUAUCAGGAGGAACGCCGGUGGCGAAAGCGGCUCUCUGGCCUGUCACUGACGCUGAGGCGCGAAAGCUAGGGGAGCAAACGGGAUUAGAUACCCGGGUAGUCC
rnacentral:rRNA from 1 species